UACUUUGAGGGAAAGUUGAAAAGAACUUUGAAGAGAGAGUUCAAGAGUACGUGAAACCGUUAAGAGCCAAACGGGUGGGACCUCGAAGGUCGAACCGAGGGGAUUCCGCUCGUCGGCUCAAAGUCGGCCGAGUGUCGGGAUUCGCAGAUGCGACCCAGGAAAUCUUGGGCGUGCCCGCACUCGAGCCGGCGCCGGCGGGCGUAUUUCCCCUCGUGAUGUAGGUCGCCGCGACCCGUUGCUGGGGACGUCGAAGGCCCGGGCGGACUGGUACCCCGACGUUGUGCGCCUCGGUGCCUUCGAAGGGGGAAACCUCCGGUGUCCUGGCUGCCCUGCGACGGUCGUGUAGCAGAGGGGCGCAUCCACGCCAAGCAUUCCUCUCGCGGCGUGCAAAAGGUCGGUGACCCACCCGACCCGUCUUG
rnacentral:rRNA from 1 species